CUAUGUUGUCUAAUACUAUCACCUAUAAAAAAGUUAAUAGUUGCGUUUAAAAUUUUACAGUUUUUAUUUAUACGCUAAAAACAAACUUUAUUACACGUGCUUUAGAAAACCGCAAAGAUAUCGAAGAAUAAUGAACAUUAAAGUAUUUCUGCAUUUUUGCUUCGCAAAUAUAAAGUCUUCGUUAUUAGAAUAGCAAAGGACAAAACUCAGUUUUAUUUUCUUAAAAAAGCUUGAGUUGAUAAGAGCUUUCUAUAGCAAAAAUAUUUUAUUUUAAUAUAAAGCGUAUUUAUAACAUAACUAAUGCUCGCAAUUGUCGUGUUUUUAUACGCUUGUGGCUUAAAACGUCUGUCUCGCGUGCCGUAAAACGGUAGCUUAAAAGUAAUUAGUGCAAAACGAUUUGUUUGACUAAUACGAAAGCAAAACAACCACAGCCGACCGUGGUCAAAUCUACGAUAACAUCUACUGUGGAAUUAAAAGUACAAUAGAUCAAAUUUUCGUUCAAACACAGUGCCCGAAAAAACGUACUUGCUUAAUUUUCCAACGCGUUUGCGAAAAUAUUGCACUUGCCUUCGGGUCAAAAAUAGAAAGCCAAAAGCUUACGGGUACGAUUAUGGCAGAACGAAAAGGACUUAAAUACGGUAUGUAGGACAAAUAGCAAGAAGAGUAUUUGAACAGCUGCGCGUAACUCCGCUCAUACCGAUUAGGCACUCUCGUGACCGUAUUUGACGGAGUAGUUUAUUUUCUUUUGCAGAUAUUACAGUCAAAUUAUACUAAAAUCUACUUUCUCUUCAUUGACUAAAUUUCUUGAGUAAUUUGGGUACUUAAAGAUCCAUUUUUUGCCAAUUACUACGAUAUUUACAUACACGUUAAAGGACGUCAUUUUCAGUACUUUUGUUUGAAUCUGUUUAGACCUUUUAAAAAGCUUCUCUAUUGAUGAGGAGUAGGCAUAUCGCAUGUAACUUGGCGGUGACGCGAACCACGCAGAGGGUGGCGCAAGAGAAGGAAUGGGGGUGCACGUGUAGAGACAGAGAGCCAAAGCUAACGUGGUAUUUGCGCUAAGUGUUUACUUGACGCGUAGCAUUUGAGAAUCGUUAGGAAGAAUCGCUUGUAAACAGAGCGAAGCGCUCGCGUUAGGUCGGAUACUUUCAACAAAAUUCUGAACGUAAACAAUAAAUAGCAUUUCUCAAAACUUGGACGUUUUGUAAUUGACGGCGUGGCAGAUUUAUCUAGAUGGCUCAGUCAUUGUUAGAGGUGUUAACUUGUUAGUAAAGUUGUUAGUGAGAGUUCAUACGAACUUUUCCCGUUGCCUUAUAGCACAAGUUAGCGAAAUAGUAAGUUAGGACAUAGUCACCACAAUUAUAGAUUACGAGAAACUUUAUGGGUUAAGUUAUUUAAAUGGUUUGCGAGUAGGUUAGUUGGUUAGGGAUAGUGUGGGUAGCGAAUCGUUAGCAGUUAGUGGAAUGCAUU